AUUUUUCUGGAGGGGAUAAGAAGGGUGGAUAGGAUCCCAGGUGACCAAGGUCACAGAGGCCCUGCCCUUCCCCUACUUGAAUUAAGAUCUUGGGAGAUUUGGGGUCAAGAAACAAAGUCCCUGCUUCGGGAGGCUCUUGGCCUGGGUUCAUGGAUGUCCCAGGAGAAGGCCUUAGAAAUAAAAGAGCAAGAGCAUUUAGUAUAAGAGAG
rnacentral:lncRNA from 1 species